CCAAGCGUGCUAUAUUGUGAUUAUCGUACCAUCAAUGCUUUGAUGUCUUGUUUGUGCUUAGCUUGGCUGCACUAAACAGCUAUAGAUGUGCUUAUGCUUGAUCUAAACUGUAUUGUUUUGUGGCCGGUAGAUGCUUCACUUUAGGUAGACACUUGGUUUAUUAGGUGUCUAUUUUUACUUUUUAGAUAGUGGAAAAAACUCUCUUUAUGUGUUAUAAAUAUCUGCAAUAUCAUAACUUGAUACUGAUAGACCUUCUCUAGCUCCCUUCAAAUGUUAGUUCAUUGUAUUGUCAACCUGUAGUGCCUGCAAUUGAAUUCGUAUCGUAGCCUUACUUAACUAGCUUACUCUCCAGAUGUGGGAUAAUAGUUCCUUCAGAUCAGUACGCCGGCGCUCUAACACCUUCUUAUGCCCCGACAAGUCCAUCACAGCCGCCAUCAUCAAGUUCACCCCCCAUAUACCUCCUGCUCGUGAAGUAGACGAGAUUGAAGUAGGACGCCAAAAUGCAUUUGCAGCGAGUCAAAGGGGCUUAUGUCUUUUUUUUUUCCAUUAUAUAAGCCAUAAUAGGCUUAUGGCUUAUAUAAAUCGAGCAUUUGUGGGACCCCAUUUGAAUCAAACUAUAGGAUCUCACUGUUCUGUCUCAUGUUCUUCUCUAGCUACUGCUUCAUAUUAUAUAUUUGAUUUCCCUGCAACAUCAGUCCAUCAUCAUGUUAUUGGUUUUAGCAGUUCCUGAAAUUUAAAUUUAUAGAUAGGGCAGUACGAAUUAGGGAUCACCUGCUUUGUGUGUGUCUUCUCUUGAUUAACUGAAACUAGAAAACCUUUUGAUUCAGGGGCUUGCUGACCACAAGGAUACCCUUGGAGCUCCUUGCAGGCAAAUCAAUUGUCUCAUCAGUUUCUUAAAAAGAUUUAUCCUCUAGUUGGAUGUAAUAGCAAUUGUUUACUUGCGCUGGGGCGGCGCAAGGGUUCUGGAACUGCCUGUGCUUUCUCAUGAGAGAGGUGAGGCUUGGUUUUACAAUCUUGUUUUUGUUAUCUUUUAUGGCACUGUGUACAAAAAGGCUGGGAUGCUCUUUAAAUACAUUGUAGAGGUGUACAAGUGUGCCAUGCUUCCCUGUUGCUUGCAAUACAUGGUAGGGUUAUUGUCAUUCUCCAACGUAUGAAUUUCUGUCACGGUUCCAUUCUGUAUUAGCUAUGGAGGCAUAUGAUUUGCUGGGGGACCAAAAAUUAGCCUGAUGCAUCUCAUUUGAUGAUAUGUUGAUAAAUACUUAUGUAUGGUUAGCAGCAAUUUAAUGUAGUUUGUGCUAACUUUCAACACCGAAAGAGAUAUUAAAGUGAAAGCUCGGCUAAAACCAUCUGUUGGAAACCCACUAAUGUAUGGUAAACAACCGUGUGAUAUAAGCGACUUGAAGUGACAGAUGCGUUUGAAUCAUCUGCAUAUCACCCACUGAUGUAUGCUAAAUAACCGUGGAAUGUAUGUGAUUACUUACAACACUUCCUGUUGAAUACCCACUCAGCUGAGGCUGUUCCCGCGCGCCCCUUGUAGGCCGUUGGAUCAUGGCCCUGAGUGGCUAGGAUUACUAGCUUAGGAGGAAAGAAGCGAGUUACCGCUACCUUGGUUAUUUUUCUAUCGUCGCUGACUUCUUGGCCCUGCUUGGUGUUAGAUCGUAGUGUCGUACUUGGGUUUACAGUGUGUCCGGUAAAAAAAGGUAGCCUGAAAACCUGUUUUACCUUUUCUUUGCUUCCUCUAAGUCCCGAUCUAGGCCUCUAACGUCUUCGUUGAAUUCUCCUGAGAUUCUGCCCACGGCGGAGUGGAUUUCGCCAGCAUCGGCUUGGAUCCAGCAGUAUAGCGGCCAGCUCCUCCAUGGCGUACGUGCGCCAACAAGACCGAGGACGCAUUUGAUCCGGAGUGGACUACCCUUUCGUCCCCAAAGAUUGGUUAGGAGGAGCUGCAGCUGCUGUCACGCGUGAGCAAAAGCAAGUCGGUUGGCAGCCAAGGAAGAGUGCAGCCGGCCAGGACGGACAAGGGUGUGGUGCUGGUGCUGUUUGAGCAGCGGCCGCGCGACCCCGCGUCGGCAGCGACCGGCUUUCCAGAAGACGCCUCACUGGAACUCGCGCCUCCUUCUGCAGCACCGGCAGCCUCCGUGGCGCCUUCCACGACAUUGACGACGCCGCUGGAACCUAAGACAAGGUCGCCUGCUGCCAUGGACACGGACGCACUGGUGGUGUUCGACGAAAUGCCUUCAAGAUGUCCAGGAGUAUAUGCCUGCAAUCUAAGCAAAUAGCCAAAUAGGCAACUUCUCCAUGUCCCACCUCUGCAAUCUUCCCAGGUAAGUCUUGCUUUCUCUUUAUUCUUGGCCUAAACUGACUUCUUAAUAUUUCCUCUAUUACACUUAGUUGCAUUAAGAUACUUGUAUGUUUGGUGGAAGGUUGGAGUGGGCUCUUCGUGUUAUAUAUCAUUAUAUGAAGAUUCUGUUCAAUGGGAGGGAGCGCUGUUUCAGCUUCAAAUUGUAUUGUUUGCUGCUAUUAAAUGUUACAAGGAAGGCUUUUCCUUUUUUUACCAUGGAAGUGGUCAUAGUCAUGUGAGUCGAGAUAGGCAAAAUUUCUGGCUCUAGGUGAUUUAAGAUGCAUGUAUUGAGUUGACUGAAAUGUGUCAAUUAUCAGCCAUCUACCGUUUUGUUACUAAACUUUGGGAUUGAUAUAUGUUUUGAUUACAUGUGAGAUUCCCUAGGUAUACCGAUUGUAUUUAACUUUACAAAUUUCAAGGAUAUAUGUGGUGAUGUAGUAUAAAACGAAAUUUUUAUUGGCGGAAAUACGAACUCACCCGCAGCAUAAUGAAUUUUGUGGUUCCUAUCUCCAGAGUAUAGAACCUUGGAAUGAUGGUUUUAUAUAUCUGUGUUUUGCUGCAUAGUCUUCUCACAACUUUUGUUUCCAUUACAAAAAUGAUCUUUUACUGUUUUCCGGUAUUAGGAUUUUGGAAAGAGACAAUGCCUUAACUGAAAUAUAUUUCUUGAGCAUCGGCAGGAAUAA